rnacentral:sRNA from 2 species
UAUUACCACACGCUUAAUCCUUCUAAAGGAAUGGGGGACCCAAGUUUUUGGGGUGAAUUUUUCUUAUUUUAAGAAAAAAGGACAUCUCUUCGUCCUAACCCGUCAGCUAACCUCAUCAGCGUGAAGAGAGUAGAC